GUUGCGGUGUGCAUCUAAUGCGCGGCGGAUUGCUAAUCCGCUGCCCGAGAGGGCGCCCGGGUUCAAGUCCCGGCCCCGGCGCCA
rnacentral:tRNA from 1 species